GAGUUUGAUCCUGGCUCAGGACGAACGUUGGCGGCGUGCUUAACACAUGCAAGUCGUACGGAGCGAAUGAAAGCUUGCUUUUAUGAGCUUAGUGGCAAACGGGUGAGUAACACGUAGACAACCUGCCGACAGGAUGGGGACAACAUUCCGAAAGGAAUGCUAAUACCGAAUGAAGUCGAGGGAGGGCAUCCUCCUUCGAUGAAAGAUGGCCUCUAUUUAUAAGCUAUCACCUGUCGAUGGGUCUGCGUCUGAUUAGCUGGUUGGUGAGGUAACGGCUCACCAAGGCGACGAUCAGUAGCCGGGCUGAGAGGCUGCCCGGCCCCGUUGCCCACUGCCCAACCCCCUCAA
rnacentral:rRNA from 1 species